UGGGGAAUAUUGGACAAUGGGCGCAAGCCUGAUCCAGCCAUACCGCGUGGGUGAAGAAGGCCUUCGGGUUGUAAAGCCCUUUUGUUGGGAAAGAAAAGCAGCCAGUUAAUACCUGGUUGUUCUGACGGUACCCAAAGAAUAAGCACCGGCUAACUUCGUGCCAGCAGCCGCGGUAAUACGAAGGGUGCAAGCGUUACUCGGAAUUACUGGGCGUAAAGCGUGCGUAGGUGGUUGUUUAAGUCUGUCGUGAAAGCCCUGGGCUCAACCUGGGAAUUGCGAUGGAAACUGGGCAACUAGAGUGUGGCAGAGGAUAGUGGAAUUCCUGGUGUAGCAGUGAAAUGCGUAGAGAUCAGGAGGAACAUCCGUGGCGAAGGCGACUGUCUGGGCCAACACUGACACUGAGGCACGAAAGCGUGGGGAGCAAACAGG
rnacentral:rRNA from 1 species